AAUGAACGUUGGCGGCGUGGAUUAGGCAUGCAAGUCGCGCGAGAAGUUUCCUUCGGGAGACGGACAGCGGCGGAAGGGAGAGGAAUAAGUAGAAAUCUGCCCUCGGGACGGGGAUAGCGGCGGGAAACUGCCGGUAAUACCCGAUAACAUCUUUGGAUCAAAUGGUGUGAUUCCGCCUGAGGAUGAGUCUACUUCCUAUUAGCUAGUUGGUGUGGUAAUGGCUCACCAAGGCAACGAUGGGUAGCGGGUGUGAGAGCACGAUCCGCCUCACUGGGACUGAGACACUGCCCAGACACCUACGGGUGGCUGCAGUCGAGAAUCUUCGGCAAUGGGGGAAACCCUGACCGAGCGACGCCGCGUGCGGGAUGAAGGCCCUCGGGUUGUAAACCGCUGUCGUAAGGGAACAAAUCUAAGAGGGUACUCCCUUUUAGUUGAGUGAUCUUAGGAGGAAGGACGGGCUAAGUUCGUGCCAGCAGCCGCGGUAAUGUC
rnacentral:rRNA from 1 species